CUCGGACGCUGCCCAGCCCCAAUGACCCCACACCGAAGGGGCGGCUCCAGUCAGAUGACCCGGAUGCCCCGAUGCUCCGCAGCGUGGGUCACAAUGCGGCCCCUUCCUUCCCCGGAAGCCCCUUCCCCUUCCCGGGGGUCCUCAUCCUCCUCCUCCUCCUCACCACGCUAAGGCUGCUUCCGCCGUUGGGGCCGUGAGCGGGGCCGGCCCUUCCUUUGGCCAAAGACUGACCCUCACGUCACGUCACGGGAGGAACACGGACCCUUCCCUCCGGCGCUAGAGUCCGGCCGCGGACUUCUUACUGGACGCUUGACCUCCAUGAGGAUGAAUAUGGACAACGUCUAAUGGAUUUGUGUACGGUGCAGAUAAUUUAUUGGACACUCCAGUGCGGCCAACUGUUGGGAAGGCUCGGCUUGUGCUCUUCCGGCCGCGGCGGAAAAGGGGUUGGACUGGAUGGCCUUUAGAGGUCCCUUUAGGAUUCUCUCUCUCUUCUCUUGAGGGUUUCUAACCAGAGGCAGCAUGGCCAUCUGUCAGGAGGGAUUAGAUAGGCAGAAGAAGGUUGGACUGGAUGCCCUUUAGGGUUCCUAUCUAUCUAUGUAUCCAUUUAUUAUGCCUUCUUUGGGUCUUUUCUAUCUAUCUCUCUAGUAUGGCAGAUGAGGGUUGGACUAGAUGCCCUUUAGGGUUCCCUUCCGACUCUAGGAUCCUAGCUAUCUUCCUCUUCAGGCCUUUAAAUUGAUAGCUGGAUGGCCAUCUGUCGGGAGGGAUCGAAUGGUGUAGCUGAACUGGAUGGCCCUUGGAGGUCCCGCUCUGGGAUUCUAUCUAUCUUUUUAUCUAUCUAUCUAUCUAUCUAUCUAUCUAUCUAUCUAUCUAUCUAUCUAUCUAUCUUCCCUGGUGGAUUUGAAGCCAUGGCUGGAUGGACAUCUGCCGGGAGGGAUCAAAUGGUGUAGCUGUACUGGAUGGCCCUUGGAAGUCCCACUCUGGGAUUCUAUCUAUCUAUCUCUAUCUAUCUAUAUCUAUCUAUCUAUCUAUCUCUCUCUAUAUAUCUAUAUCUAUCUAUCUAUUUAUAUAUCUCUAUCUCUAUAUCUAUCUAUAUCUAUAUAUCUCUAUCUCUAUCUAUCUAUCUAUCUAUCUAUCUAUCUAUCUAUCUAUCUAUAUCUAUCUAAUCUCUAUCUCUAUCUAUCUAUCUAUCUUCCCUGGUGGAUUAGAAGCCAUGGCUGGAUGGACAUCUGUCGGGAGGGAUCGAAUGGUGUAGCUGGAUGGCCCUUGGAGGUCCCACUCUGGGAUUGUAUCUAUCUAUCAUCUAUCUAUAUCUAUCUAUCUAUCUAUCUAUCUAUCUAUCUUCCCUGGUGGAUUAGAAGCCAUGGCUGGAUGGACAUCUGUCGGGAGGGAUCGAAUGGUGUAGCUGAACUGGAUGGCCCUUGGAAGUCCCACUCUGGGAUUCUAUCUAUCGAUCUAUAUCUAUAUCUAAUCUAUCUAUCUAUAUCUAUCUAUCUUCCUUCCCUGGUAGAUUAGAAGCCAACCCUGGGUGGACAUCUGUCGGGAGGGAUUGGAUUGUGUCUCCAUCCAUAGCAGAAGGGGGUUGGACUGGAUGGCCCUUGGAGAUCCCACUCUAGGAUUCUAUCUCCUUCCCUGGUGGAUUUGAAGCCAAGGCUGGAUGGCCAUCUGUCGGGAGGGAUCGGAUUGUGUCUCCAUCCAUAGCAGAAGGGUGUUGGACUGGAUGGCCCUUGGAGAUCCCACUCUAGGAUUCUAUCUCCUUCCCUGGCGGAUCUGAAGCCAAGGCUGGAUGGCCAUCUGUCGGGAGGGAUUGAAUGGUGUCUUCAUCCACAGUAGAAGUAGGUUGGACUGGAUGGCCCCGGGAGAUCCCACUCUAGGAUUGUAUCUCUAUGUAUCUCCUUCCGUGGUGGAUUUGAAGCCAAGCCUGGAUGGACAUCUGUCGGGAGGGAUCGGAUUGUGUCUUCCUUCCAGAUCUAAGAUUCUGUGACCCUCUUGGACCCUAAGAAACAGGAUUCAUCUCAUUCCGACCUGGAACCAAAGACAGCCUUGACUCCCGGUCCGGGUUGAUCAAGAACCGCCUUUUGAGCCAGAGCAUCAAAGGGACAAAGUGUUUGUCCGCGUUUGCAUUCAUUGCUAUGGAAUUGUUAUUUUUUUAAAAUAAUGUACAGAAUAAAUGUUCCCAAAUGGAACGCGUUUGCAUUUCUUUUGUGACGUUUGCGAUGCUCAAAAAGCAUUAUCGCAGGGCCGGGAUUUGUUUUUUCGUGUCAACUUGAGUUGCUUCUGGAGUGAGAGAAUUGGCCGUCUGCAAGGACGUUGCCCAGGGGACAUUGCCCGGAUGUUUUGAUGUUUUUACCAUCCUUGUGGGAGGCUUCUCUCAUGUCCCCGCAUGGAGCUGGAGCUGAC
rnacentral:lncRNA from 11 species